UAUAUGUGUGUGUGUGUAUCCAUUCUACCUAUAUACAUAUAGAGAUAUAAAUUAAUAUGUGUGUAUACAUAUAUACACAUAUAUAUGU
rnacentral:miRNA from 1 species